UGCAUUUGCAACCUGAGCUCAGACGUGAUUACCCGCUGAACUUAAGCAUAUCAUUAGCGGAGGAAAAGGAACCAUUCAAGAGGCUU
rnacentral:rRNA from 1 species